rfam:Environmental sequence s8_179322.2, whole genome shotgun sequence.
GGCAGCUCUCASGAGUGCGGGCUGCCGUCUGAUUGUUUGAGGGUGCCAGAUGUAAAUAAACAGUGGAGCGGCUGCAAAAGAGCCUCCUCACUGGGUAAAAUCAGGUUGUGCCGCGGAACCCGCUCCUCAGCUAGUCACACUUCGGAAGCGCGGGCAACGCAGGUAUUAUCGUCUAAAGGGCCGGCUGCAACCGGCCC